UACACGCUGUGACUAGCAUAUCAAUAAGCGGAGGAAAAGAAACUAACAAGGAUUCCCCUAGUAACGGCGAGUGAAGCGGGAAGAGCUCAAAUUUGAAAUCUUAAAGGGUUUCCCUUUACGAAUUGUAGUUUAAAGAAGUGUUUUCUGUUGAGGUUUAGGUAAAAGUUCUUUGGAAUAGGACAUCAUAGAGGGUGAGAAUCCCGUAUUUGACCUUUACUUUCAACUUUGUGAUACACUUUCAAGAGUCGGAUUGUUUGGGAAUGCAGUCCAAAAUGGGUGGUAAAUUUCAUCUAAAGCUAAAUAUUGGCGAGAGACCGAUAGCGAACAAGUACCGUGAGGGAAAGAUGAAAAGAACUUUGAAAAGAGAGUUAAACAGUACGUGAAAUUGUCAAAAGGGAAGCGUUUGACACCAGUGUUGUUUUUCUGAAAAUCAAUUAAAGAACUGUUUAUGCUAAGUUGUUUAGACUUUAUCAGCUAACUGUUUAGUUUUGAGCUUUUCUUUAAUGCACUUUUCAGUUAACAAGUCAACAUCAAUUUCUUUUGCUGUAAAAAAGCUUGAGGAAGGUGGCUUGAGAUUCGUCUUAAGUGUUUAUAGCCUCUUGCCUAUGCAGUCGGAGAGAUUGAGGUCUGCAGCGUAGAUCCUUCGGGGCUAAAUGCAUUUGUGCUAAGUUAUAGCAUUUUAUAGACAACUUGUUGACUAUGAUUUGUCUUGUAGCUUACUCGCUUAUGUUAUUUUACCUACGCUUAGGAUGUUGAGUCGUAGAGCACGCAG
rnacentral:rRNA from 1 species